rnacentral:rRNA from 1 species
AUUGAACGCUGGCGGCAGGCUUAACACAUGCAAGUCGAGCGGGGUGAUGGUGCUUGCACUAUCACUUAGCGGCGGACGGGUGAGUAAUGCUUAGGAAUCAACCUAUUAGUGGGGGACAACAUCUCGAAAGGGAUGCUAAUACCGCAUACGUCCUACGGGAGAAAGCAGGGGAUCACUUGUGACCUUGCGCUAAUAGAUGAGCCUAAGUCGGAUUAGCUAGUUGGUGGGGUAAAGGCCUACCAAGGCGACGAUCUGUAGCGGGUCUGAGAGGAUGAUCCGAAACACUGGGACUCGGACACGGCCCAGACUCCGACGAGAGGUAGCAGUGGGGAAUAUUGGACAAUGGGGGCAACCCUGAUCCAGCCAUGCCGCGUGUGUGAAGAAGGCCUUAGCGUUGUAAAGCACUUUAAGCGAGGAGGAGGCUCUUUUGGUUAAUACCCAAGAUGAGUGGACGUUACUCGCAGAAUCAGCACCGGCUAACUCUGUGCCAGCCGCCGCCGUAA